rnacentral:rRNA from 1 species
GAUCAUGGCUCAGAACGAACGCUGGCGGCAAGGCUUAACACAUGCAAGUUGAACGGGAUUUGUGUGGUGCUUGCACCAUAUAAUGAGAGUAGCGCACUGGUGAGUAACACGUGGGAACGUGCCUUUAGUGGGGGAUAACAUCUGGAAACGGAUGCUAAUACCGCAUAAGCGCACGGUGUCGCAUGACACAGUGUGAAAAACUCCGGUGGUAUAAGAUGGACCCGCGUCUGAUUAGCCAGUUGGCAGGGUAACGGCCUACCAAAGCGACGAUCAGUAGCCGGCCUGAGAGGGUGAACGGCCACAUUGGGACUGAGACACGGCCCAAACUCCUACGGGAGGCAGCAGUGGGGAAUAUUGCACAAUGGGGGAAACCCUGAUGCAGCGACGCCGCGUGAGCGAAGAAGUAUUUCGGUAUGUAAAGCUCUAUCAGCAGGGAAGAAGAAAUGACGGUACCUGACUAAGAAGCACCGGCUAAAUACGUG